rnacentral:rRNA from 1 species
CACGUAGGGCGCGAGCGUUGUCCGGAUUUAUUGGGCGUAAAGAGCUCGUAGGCGGCUUAGUAAGUCGGAUGUGAAAACUCGGGGCUCAACCCCGAGACGCCAUCCGAUACUGCUGUGGCUUGAGUCUGGUAGGGGAACACGGAAUUCCUGGUGUAGCGGUGAAAUGCGCAGAUAUCAGGAGGAACACCGAUGGCGAAGGCAGUGUUCUGGGCCAGUACUGACGCUGAGGAGCGAAAGCGUGGGGAGCAAACAGG